GGCAACGUGGAAUACGACUCCCGGGCAGGAAUCUAGAUCCGGCAUCAUGGGGUGGAGAACAUCUUCUUGAUGAAAAAGGAUGUGAAAUGAAACGACAUAACCUUCAGUGGCAGAGAUAUUCCAAAAGGAGCUGAGAGGUCACUCUGAGCCACCUGUGACGUGUGUGGACUAACCUGGAAUCCAACAGGACAGAGGUCUGUUUCAGAACAGCCACAUGCAAAAGGCAAUAUCUCCAGUAAGCAAAGCAGCAACAUUUCUUCAACGUAACCUGCUCAAAGAAUCUGAUGAGAUCAAGUGUCAGCAUCACUGGAGGCUGAUGCUCAUCCACACCAUGAAGAAUAGACC